rnacentral:rRNA from 1 species
UAUGUAGGGGGCGAGCGUUGUCCGGAAUCAUUGGGCGUAAAGCGCGUGUAGGCGGCCCGGUAAGUCCGCUGUGAAAGUCCAGGGCUCAACCCUGGGAUGCCGGUGGAUACUGUCGGGCUCGAGUCCGGAAGAGGCGAGUGGAAUUCCUGGUGUAGCGGUGAAAUGCGCAGAUAUCAGGAGGAACACCAAUGGCGAAGGCAGCUCGCUGGGACGUGACUGACGCUGAGACGCGAAAGCGUGGGGAGCAAACAGG